CGAGGUGUGAGCACUGUACCAAGACGUG
rnacentral:piRNA from 1 species